GUGGGAUAUUCCCUGAUAACCUUAAAGGAGCUGUGUCACCGCGUGCGCAUCCUUUCUGCGCACAUAUAAACUUGAAAACUACAGUCUGUAGUUUUCAAGUUAUCAAAUCCAAGAUGGCGGCGCCAAGUGCUGUAGCGCAUGGUGGGAGACGAGAUAAUUCGGGAAGAAAACGAAAAUAUAGGGCAUGUAGUAAAACACUGACUAUCGGAACACCGGAACACCACCGGAACACCGGAACACCACCAUUUUGUUUGGGGUUAGGGUUAGAAUUAGGGUUUGGGGUUAGGGUUAGGGUUGGGGGUUAGGGUUAGGGUUGGGGGUUAGGGUUGGGGUUAGGUGGUGUUCCGGUGGUGUUCCGGUGUUCCGGUAGUCAGUGUUUUACUACAUGCCAAAAUAUAGUGGAUCGAUAGGGUCGCAAAAAGGCUGGAAUAGUGCGAACAAACGUAUAUAUUUACCUUUAACGAUAUUUGAGGCAUGGAGAAACGCGAAAAGUGAGGCUGGGU